rnacentral:lncRNA from 1 species
UUUUCCACCGAAGCCUCGUUCUGUGGCUUUUGGGCCCCGCUGAGGAGCCCCGGGAGCCUCGUCCUGUGUUUGCCACAGGCUCCACGUGGGCAGCGCGGGCGAGUUUCCAGCGCAGACCUUGCGGCGAUAUGGAGCGAGCACGUGUCACGCUGAUGGGAACUGUCACUGUGUGCGCACACAGCUCCAUCUGUGGCCCCGCCGUAAGAAACCCUAAUUCUGCCCGAGUAGCCUGUUUGCAGCUGUCUAGCUCUCAACCUGUGCGCGCAUCUCGCCAGGAAAAACCAAAGGGAAAUAAAGUCGGAGUGGUGCGUGUCUAACCCUAGGGAGCCCAUUAGGAAUGUUCUCCUCCUGGCAAACCCAGCUGGGCAUAAAACGAGCCCUUUUGUCUGAAGGAGUCACUGGAGGGGCUGCAUAACGGGAGAAUCGCUAUAGCUGUGCCGCUGAGAAAGCCCAGACAGAGACCUUGUGACAACAGGAAAUAUGUUUUAGAAGCUCAGCAAUGAAUGCAGCUGAUUGCAAAUAACAGACUAUUUCAGCAAGAACUAGGGGCAGUUCAGCCAAAGCCCUAAGCCUGGAGUGGUGCCCUGGGAUGUUGCUAGUUUUAUCCUAACUUAAGUGUGAUAAUAAGAUCACAGCACUAUGCAAAUUCAUAACCUUUAGUAUGUUUGUAAACAAGUCACUCUUUACCUUCAAACAGACUUGCUCUUAUUACUCAAAAUAGUGCUACUCCGUCCUGCUGAACAAUCAUCCCUAUUUAGUUAAUAGCGUCGUACCGCAUCCAUAUUUUUGUUCCGUGUUUAAAAUUAAGCAAUCAACAUUUCUCAUAAGUCCUAAUGACUAAUUAUUUGAUAGCAUGUUCUAUGAAAGAUUGCUGCACAUAUGAUGUACACUUUCUUUUAGCUUCCGCUGUUUAUAAAUAUUUAUCGCUGAACAUUGUAAAUACAAAAGCGGCUGGUACUUCCAGCAGUGAAAAU